CCAUAGCUCAACGGAUAGAGCAUCUGACUUCGGAUCAGAAGGUUUGGGGUUCGAAUCCCUAU
rnacentral:tRNA from 1 species